rnacentral:rRNA from 1 species
ACUCCUACGGGAGGCAGCAGUGGGGAAUAUUGCACAAUGGGCGCAAGCCUGAUGCAGCCAUGCCGCGUGUAUGAAGAAGGUCUUCGGGUUGUAAAGUACUUUCAGCAGUGAGGAAGGCAGGUACGUUAAUAGCGUGCUUGUUUGACGUUAGCUGCAGAAGAAGCACCGGCUAACUCCGUGCCAGCAGCCGCGGUAAUACGGAGGGUGCGAGCGUUAAUCGGAAUUACUGGGCGUAAAGCGCAUGCAGGUGGUUUGUUAAGUCAGAUGUGAAAGCCCGGGGCUCAACCUCGGAAUUGCAUUUGAAACUGGCAGACUAGAGUACUGUAGAGGGGGGUAGAAUUUCAGGUGUAGCGGUGAAAUGCGUAGAGAUCUGAAGGAAUACCGGUGGCGAAGGCGGCCCCCUGGGACAGAUACUGACACUCAGAUGCGAAAGCGUGGGGAGCAAACAGGAUUAGAUACCCUGGUAGGAUAGCG